rnacentral:rRNA from 1 species
AAUCAAGCNGUUAAGGGCAUAGAGUGAAUGCCUUGGUGCCAACAGGCGAUGAAGGACGUGAUAAGCUGCGAUAAGCUUCGGAUAGCCGCACACAGGCUGUGACCCGGAGAUUUCCGAAUGGGGUAACCUGGCUNCAGUAAUAUGGAGUCGUUCCAUCCUGAAUAAAAUAGGGAUGGAUACGCGAUACCCGGUGAAGUGAAACAUCUCAGUAACCGGAGGAAGAGAAAACGAAUGUGAUUCCGUAAGUAGCGGCGAGCGAAAGCGGAACAGCCCAAACCGGGGCCUUUGGUCCCGGGGUUGUAGGGCUCCAAUGUGGCAUCCGGAACGUUAAGAGAAUUGGCUGGAAAGCCAUCCCAUAGAAGGUGACAGGCCUGUAAAUUAAAACGUGAAGGAGCCUAGGAUGUCCCUGAGUAGCGCAGCACACGUGAAACGUUGCGUGAAUCUGCCCCGACCACGGGGUAAGGCUAAAUACUAGUUGGCGACCGAUAGUGAACCAGUACCGUGAGGGAAAGGUGAAAAGUACCGCUGCGAGCGGAGUGAAAUAGAACCUGAAACCCUAUGCCUACAAGGUGUCAGAGCCCCUUCGGGGGUGAUGGCGUGCCUUUUGCUUAAUGAGUCUGCGAGUUACUCUCUGUGGCAAGCUUAAGGUCUUUUGGACCGGAGGCGGAGCGAAAGCGAGUCCGAAUAGGGCGAUUAGUUGCAGGGGGUAGACCCGAAGCGGAGGUGACCUACCUAUGGCCAGGUUGAAGCGUGAGUAAAAUCACGUGGAGGACCGAACCGUUGUGUGUUGAAAAACGCUCGGAUGAGCUGUGGGUAGGAGUGAAAGGCUAAUCAAACCCCGUGAUAGCUGGUUCUCUCCGAAAUGCAUUUAGGUGCAGCGUCACGUGCUGAAGGAUGGGGGUAGAGCACUGAAAGGGCUAGGGGGCAUACCCGCCUACCAAACCCUAUCAAACUCCGAAUACCAUCCGGUGGAGCGUGGCAGUGAGACAGUGGGGGAUAAGCUUCAUUGUCGAAAGGGAAACAGCCCAGAUCAGCAGCUAAGGUGCCUAAAGUACGCUAAGUGGAAAGGAGGUGGAGUCUCACAGACAGUGAGGAUGUUGGCUUAGAAGCAGCCACCAUUUAAAAAAAGCGUAACAGCUUACUCAUCGAGAGACUCUGCGCCGAAAAUGAUUGGCGAUAAGCGUGCUACCGAAGCUCUGGAUGUCAUCCUUAGGGAUGGCGUGGUAGGAGAGCGUUCCCAGUGCAGCGAAGGGUGAUGGCGACUGACCCUGGAGCGCUGGGAAGUGAGUAUGCAGACAUGAGUAACGAUAAGACCGGUGAAAUCCCGGUCCGCCGUAAACCCAAGGUUUCCCGGGCAACGUUUUUCGUCCCGGGGUUAGUCGGGACCUAAGCCGAGGCCGAUAGGCGUAGGCGAUGGAAAGCAGGUCAAUAUUCCUGCACCUCCGACCCUUAAACUGGGGGGACGCGGUUUGAAAAGUGACUAGGUUAUUGAAUUCCGAGAUGCGGCUACGGCCAAUUCGUAUCACCAGACAAACUGCCAAGAAAAGCCCCAGCAUAUGCUAAGGAGCCCGUACCGUAAACCGACACAGGUGGGUGGGUAGAGUAUACCAAGGCGCAAGAGUGAAACCUGGUCAAGGAACUCGGCAAAAUAGCUCCGUAACUUCGGGAUAAGGAGUGCCCCCUUCUGGGGGGUCGCAGUGAAAUGGCCCAUCCGACUGUUUAGCAAAAACACAGCAUUGUGCUAAGGCGUAAGCCGACGUAUACGAUGUGACACGUGACCAAUGCCAAAAGAUUAAGGUAAGGUGUUAGCCCUCGUGGCGAAGCUCUGAGCCCAAGUCCUGGUGAAUGUCGGCCGUAACUAUAACGGUCCUAAGGUAGCGAAAUUCCUUGUCGGGUAAGUUCCGACCUGCACGAAUCGUGCAACGAGAUGGGCGCUGUCUCGACCAGGAGCUCAGUGAAAUUGUAACACCGGUGAAGAUGCCGGUUACCUGCAGAAGGACGGAAAGACCCUAUAGACCUUAACUGUAAGCUGUUACUGGUUAUUUGAUUUCAAUGCUCAGCAUAAGUGGGAGGCUUUGAAGCGGCGUUUUAGGGCGUCGUGGAGCCACCAGUGAGAUACCACCCUUUGGUAUUGGAUGAUCUAACCCCGAGCCGUUAUCCGGCCGGGGGACCCUGGCAGCCGGUCAGUUUUACUGGGGCGGUAUCCUCCUAAAGAGUAACGGAGGAGCGCGAAGGUGGGCUCAGCGCAGUUGGCAACUGCGUGUCGAGUGUAAAGGCACAAGCCCGCCUAACUGUGAGACCUACAAGUCGAUCAGAUACGAAAGUAGGCCUUAGUGAUCCGGCGGUUGAAUGUGGAAUUGCCGUCGCUCAACGGAUAAAAGGUACCUUAGGGAUAACAGGCUGAUCGCGCCCAAGAGUUCAUAUCGACGGCGCGGUUUGGCACCUCGAUGUCGGCUCGUCGCAUCCUGGGGCUGGAGAAGGUCCCAAGGGUCCGGCUGUUCGCCGGUUAAAGCGGCACGCGAGCUGGGUUCAGAACGUCGCGAGACAGUUCGGUCCUCUAUCCUCUGUGGGCGUAGGAGAAUUGAGGGGUUCACUUUCUAGUACGAGAGGACCGAAAGUGACGCACCUCUGGUGUACCAGUUGUUCUGUCAAGAGCAUUGCUGGGUAGCUAAGUGCGGAAGAGAUAAGCGCUGAAAGCAUCUAAGCGCCAAGCUCCUCCCAAGAUGAAUUCUCCCUGAGGAUCGUGGUAGACCACCACGUUGAUAGGCUGGCGGUGUAAGUGCAGUAAUGCAUUCAGCUCACCAGUACUAAUCAUCCAAUUGGCUUGAUUCCUCUC